GAUUAUGUUGCAUAUUAUGGGAAUCUCUCUUAAUUCGUGACUAUGAAUGGUGUAACAGUGUGGCAACCAAGUCUAGCAUUACGAUGUAUGCAGAUGGAUGUCUAUGGCAUUGGAGAUGGUCUGAGGUAUAUCCAGAGUGUUGGUCACUGAAUCAUUGGAGUUUGACUUUAGAUGCCGAGUGAUUGAUGAAGAUUAAGCCACCACAAGAGGUGGCACGGGCAGGAGUAGCCCGUAGGUAGUAGAUGUUUGGGAGUGAAUGUGAUCUUUGGUUGUGUAACUUCUUUAAGUGUCUCUUGAGGUUUGGGCUGCGAUGUCCGGCCACUUCAUAUCUGCGUUUCCGACCGUAUUAAACCCAGAUUUGUUCCUUGCUCCAACAAGAAGCUUGCUUAACCGGUUCAGGAUUUGUGGUUGGUGACUAGAUUUGUGCAUGUUGUGUGGGAUUAAUGGACACCUUCAAUUUCUUGCACUAGAAGUCUUGAGCAGCUAUAUUACUUUUAAUGCAAUUGCUACAUGUAUUUCAAUAUAUCUUCAUCUGUUAACAGACAGUUGGAGGAAAGCUGGUUCCAGUAAUACAAUCCAAACUCUAAACGUACUCUCAUAGCCAGCCUGGAAAGCAUGUUGCUCCAAGUGACUGUAAGAGUUCACUUUUAAAAUUUGAAAACUAACCUGAAACAUCGUCUUCAGUGGCUUUCAUCUCAGGAUAACAUCUACUCAUGUUUAUUGAGCAAAUAUGGCUGUAGAAUAUCUUAAAGUAAACACUAACAUGGUCCCAAUAUCUUUGCAACCUGCAAACACUACAUGACCUAGUUGCUGCUAGUAAAAAAUAAAGUUCCCUCACU